rnacentral:rRNA from 1 species
CCUACACAUGCAAGUCGAACGAAGUAGCAAUACUUAGUGGCAGACGGGUGAGUAACAUGUGGGUAUCUACCCUAUGGCCUGGAAUAACACGAGGAAACUUGUGCUAAUACCGGAUAAGUCUUUACAGAGAAAGCUUUAUGCACCAUUGGAUGAGCCUGCACUUGAUUAGUUUGUUGGUAGGGUAAUGGCCUACCAAGACUGUGAUCAAUAGCUGAUUUGAGAGGAUGAUCAGCCACAUUGGGACUGAGACACGGCCCAAACUCCUACGGGAGGCAGCAGUGGGGAAUCUUGCACAAUGGAGGAAACUCUGAUGCAGCGAUGCCGCGUGAGUGAAGAAGGCCCUUGGGUUGUAAAGCUCUUUCGUCGGGGAAGAAAAUGACUGUACCCGAAUAAGAAGGUCCGGCUAACUUCGUGCCAGCAGCCGCGGUAAUACGAAGGGACCUAGCGUAGUUCGGAAUUACUGGGCUUAAAGAGUUCGUAGGUGGUUGAAAAAGUUAGUGGUGAAAUCCCAGAGCUUAACUCUGGAACUGCCAUUAAAACUUUUCAGCUAGAGUAUGAUAGAGGAAAGCAGAAUUUCUAGUGUAGAGGUGAAAUUCGUAGAUAUUAGAAAGAAUACCAAUUGCGAAGGCAGCUUUCUGGAUCAUUACUGACACUGAGGAACGAAAGCAUGGGUAGCGAAGAGGAUUAGAUACCCUCGUAGUCCAUGCCGUAAACGAUGUCAACUAGGUGUAUGGGAAAUUUAUUUCUUGUGUAUCGAAGCUAACGCGAUAAGUUGACCGCCUGGGGAGUACGGUCGCAAGACUAAAACUCAAAUGAAUUGACGGGGGCCCGCACAAGCGGUGGAGCAUGUGGUUUAAUUCGAUGC